rnacentral:lncRNA from 1 species
UCUCAUUUUUGUCAAAUAUUUAUCUUAUGUAGAAUUUGCUUUUUCAGUGUCAUUUGUUAUGAACAUGUUUUGUGUGACCCUGAAUAUCAUUUUAUUCCUGCAGAUGACAUGGAAGCCAUUCCUGUCAAACAGUUUGUGAAACACAUCGGUGAGCUCUAUUCUAAUAACCAGCAUGGGUUCUCUGAAGAUUUUGAGGAAGUCCAGCGUUGUACAGCUGAUAUGAACAUCACUGCAGAACAUUCCAAUCACCCAGAUAACAAGCACAAAAACAGAUACAUCAACAUUUUAGCAUGUGAGUAAUGAGCUUUAAACGAUCUUCAACUGUGAAAAUGACAUCUUCAUGCUGCAUAGAAAGCCAGACAGUGAGAGCCAGAAGACCAAGAAAGGCUACCUGAGAGCUAGCAUAUCACGGGGUAUACACACUGCAGGGCAUUUCCUGCCCCUGGGGUCUACUUGAGAGCUAGCAUAUCAUGAGGUAUACGCAGUGUGGGACAUUUCCUACCCCUGGGGUCUUUCAUUGGACUACCGGAACUCAGACAGCUUAAUAAAGUGACUAAGAGAAACCAUCCUGGACUUUUGUAUUUUCACAUGAGGUGACAUCAUAUCAGAUCUUGGGAGACAAAGUAUGAAUGUAUUGUGGCUAUUCUGACAUUAUUUUUAACCAGUGAGAGGCAAGUCAUUUUAAUACAAAUUUGGAGAACUGAAUGAAUAAGCCCAUUCAGUUUCAAAACAGUUUAAAGUUAUAACUACAUGGGUAUAUGCUUUGAAAAAUCAUAGGGACCAAUUUUAUGGUUAACACAUAGUGCAGUAGGACCACAUUACACAGAAUAGUUUGUCUAAGGACUUUAAAUUGGAACACUUAAAGUUUGAAUACUG